rnacentral:rRNA from 1 species
AAGAUCCAAAGAUUUCCGAAUGGGGGAACCCAGCACCUUUCAUAGGGUGUUACCAAUGAGUGAAUACAUAGCUCAUUAGGAGGUACACGCAGGGAACUGAAACAUCUCAUUACCUGCAGGAAGAGAAAGAAAAAUCGAUUCCCUGAGUAGUGGCGAGCGAAACGGGAGGAGCCCAAACCAACGAGCUUGCUUGUUGGGGUUGUAGGACUAGAACGUGAGAAGACAUCAAGAUAGCAGAAGUGGUCUGGAAAGGCCCAUCAAAGAAGGUGACAAUCCUGUACGCGACAUCUUGACGA